UAUGAUGGGCGCACCCUGAUCCAGCCAUUCCGCGUGAGUGAAGAAGGCCUUCGGGUUGUAAAGCUCUUUCACAUGGGAAGAAACGAUUGUAGCGAAUAACUCGUGAUAAUGACGGUACCUUGAUAAGAAGCACCGGCUAACUACGUGCCAGCAGCCGCGGUAAUGA
rnacentral:rRNA from 1 species